UACAGAGGUGCCAAGCGUUAGGCGGAAUCACUGGGCUUAAAGCGCGUGUAGGUGGAUGGGUAAGUACCUUGUGAAAUCCCACGGCUCAACCGUGGAACUGCUGGGUAUACUGCUUGUCUUGAGGCACUCAGGGGCAGCUGGAACAAAUGGUGGAGCGGUGAAAUGCGUAGAUAUCAUUUGGAACGCCAAAGGCGAAAGCAGGCUGCUGGGAGUGAUCUGACACUGAGACGCGAAAGCCAGGGGAGCAAACGGG
rnacentral:rRNA from 1 species